rnacentral:rRNA from 1 species
GACGUAGGGCGCGAGCGUUGUCCGGAUUUAUUGGGCGUAAAGAGCUCGUAGGCGGCUCAUCGCGUCGUGCGUGAAAACCCGUAGCUCAACUGCGGGCUUGCGUUCGAUACGGGUGGGCUGGAGUUCGGUAGGGGAGACUGGAAUUCCUGGUGUAGCGGUGAAAUGCGCAGAUAUCAGGAGGAACACCGGUGGCGAAGGCGGUUCUCUGGGCAUUACCUGACGCUGAGGAGCGAAAGUGUGGGGAGCGAACAGG